rnacentral:lncRNA from 1 species
UUGGCCCGGAACACCGCCGCAUCGACGCCAUCACCAUCUUCUUCCACCUUCGACCCCGACCUCCGCCGCCCUGGAUCCGCGCUCCGGCAAGCCCCCGGCCCGUCCGAGCUCGUCAUCGGCCUCCCCGGGGUGAGCCUCGUCGUUCCCCCACGUUUCCCCCUGUUUCCCCUCAUUCCUCGUCUCUGCAAUCGCCGCCCCGACCUUGCGUUGACGCAGCUGAACUCCCCCUCACCGCGUUCGUCGCGCCCCUCCCCGUGCGUAGCUCGCGCCUGUCCGCGCUCCUCGUUGGCCGCGUUGUUCGCUGCUCCCCUCGCGCCGUAGCCGCCACCCCCCGCAGCCUCUGUGUGCCGCCACCGCUGCUGCUUGCUGCUCCUGCCUGUACUACUUCGCCUGCUGCUGCCCAGCACCGCCCGGCACCCCGGCGCCAUGGCUGCCCACUGCCGCCUGCCCUGCCUUGCUGCUGCCGCCCUAACCCCGCGCUCCGGCUCCUUCCCCGUCCGCUGCUUUCGGGAGCCCCGCCGCCGCACCUGCUGUCCCGCUCCAGUCGUGCUGCGCCGGCCCCUCCCGCUGCGGCCCUCCCUGCCUCGCUGGAGGCCACGCCCGACCGCCGGAGCCCGACCCCUCCUGCACCAUGCCUUACCUCCCGGCUAGCACCAUGGCCGCCGGCGCCGUACUCUACGAGUACGUGCGUGCGGGCACGGCCUCACCAGAGGCCGAUUUGGGCCUCUGAGCCCGACACCCCCCUGUUAAUUAGGGAGGCCCUAAUUAGUUUAGUCCACCCCCCCCCCUAAUUAAGCUAGUUAAGUUUAGUGCAGAAUCUGUUAAUUAAAAUGUGUCUAUGACAAUUGGGACCCAUGUGCACUGUUCACUUUUGACUAGUCAAAAUAUUGACUGGGUCAACCCAGUCCCUUGCCCCAUGUUCCAUACACGUGCACACAUUGCUGGGUACACUCCUGUGUACCCAUAGCAAUUUGUCUGUUUAGUUUUUUGAAUUACAGUAAUUUCAAAAUAUUGUUAAAUCUUUGAAAAAUCAUAUUAAAUAAUCUGUAACUCCGAUGAAAAUACUUUAUACAUGAAACUUGCUUAGAAUUUCGAUACGAACCCGAAUACGUCCUCCGUAUUCCUGUCAAAUGCCCAUAGCUAUAUGAUCAUGGAACUUUUAGACCGAUUUCAGUGAAUGAAUAGUGCCCAACUUUAAUUAAAUAAAUCCAAAUAAAUUCCUAAAUUAACUAAAUCAUUUAGUUAGGCAGUAGAACACCUCUGCAUAUCAUUUAGUCAUGUCCUGCAUAUUGUUUGCAUUAUUGCCGUGAAUUUAUUGUUUCUCUCCCCUUCCUUCUCUCCGAUAGACCCCGAGACCGAUGCUGCCCCUGUGAUCGACUACGUCGACGAUGACCCCUCCUUGCCAGAGCAACCAGGCAAGCCCCCCCCCUUUUGAUCAUCCCGAUAUCGCCCAUUCCAUUCUCUCAUGCUUGCAUUAGAUUUUGCUACUGUUAUUGUUUGCUCCUAUUCUGAUGCAUAGCCUGCUUUUGUAUCUACUUUUGUACCUUGCCUGCUUAUCCUAAACUACUUAGUAUAGGUUGGUUAGAGACCCAUCAGUGACCCCCACUUGACCCGACUGCCCUGCUAGAUUAUCAGAAGACCCGAUCAACGGGAUCGAAGACCAGGCCCCGACACCGCACAUCACUUUCCCCUUUUGUUGCUCGACUCUGCAGAGUUACCAUCGAGUGCCGAGGGUGGAACCUAUACAUCACUCCUGAUGAGAUCUCUGUAGUGUAGCUAUUCGGCCGGGGUCAUCGAGGGUGAUUUCCUCCUUAACCACUUCCGAUACGACUCUAUCGUGCAACCCCUCAAGUGUGAACUUCGAGGGUGGUUCCUCUUAAGUUCACCUUGACGAUUACAUCGAGUGGAAUCCGUCAAGGGUGAUUCCUCAGGUUUUCCCCUUGGUGUUAGACACACGGUUACUAUGGUUACUAUGACUUACACUGAACCCUGUUACUGAAGACGGGUCGGCCCUGAGGGGUACCCGCGCGAGCUUAAUUGCGAGUGAUGUGGAGUUGGGCAGACCUGGAAGGUGCCUGCGAGAUAAUUACGAGGCGUGGCCGGGCAUUCCUAGCCCUUGUCGCAAGUCCUCGAGACGGGGCAACGGGGUCACAUCUUUUGUGAGUCUCUGCUUGUUACCGCGCGUUCCUAAUCCACUACGAUUUGGAUAUUUGAUCCGAGGGGCCUCUGGCCUGAUAGCACUAACCAUCACGUGGGCAUAGUAUGGGCGUUCUGCGUCGUAUGCAUCAGCCGAAGCUUAAUAGACGUCAGCGACUGAGCGGCGCGCGCCGGGUUGGACUGCGUAAGCGCCUGCCUUGUUGAAGGAGGUAGCUAGGUCUGCUCAUCGGCCGCGUACGCAACGUGCGGGAGUUCCCGGGGAGAUGGCCCAUGACCCCUGGGGGCAUAGGUUUAGUCCGGCGUGCUGGCCUUUCUAUUAAGCCUAGGUCGGGUUGCGGCGUAUUGUUUGGCCGAGGCCGGGCAUGACCCAGGAAAGUGUGUCCGGCCAGAGUUAAUCGAGCGUGGUGGGUAAGUUGGUGCACCCCUGCAGGGAAGAAAACAUCUAUCGAUAGCCUGUCCUAUGGUAACGGACACUUGGAGUUGUAUCCCGAUCGAUACAACUAGAACUGGAUACUUGUGAUGAGAACUGGAUGGUGAUGAGAAUUGGAUUGUGAUGAUAACCGGAUAGAAUGGCUCUGGGAUUGCUUUCUCGCAGGGAGUCGAGAAAGGAUCUCCGGCCGAUGUUGAUAACACUACUACUACUUUACUUUACGCUACUCUACUCCCUCCUGUUGCUGCAAGAUGGUGGUUUCCAGAAGAUGCUAGUCUUCGAUAGGACUAGGCCUUCUCUCUAUUCUGGCAUUUUUGCAGCCCAGUCCACAUAUACAGCCUUCCUUUGAUAAUGUUGCAUAUGUAGUGUCGAUCCUUGCCUGCGAGUACUUUGGAUGAGUACUCACGGUUGCUUUGCUCCCCCUUUUCCCCCUUUCUUCUUCUUUCCGGUUGAUGCAACCAGAUGUCGGAGCCCAGGAGCCAGAUGCCACCGCCGAUGUCUACUACUACAUUGGAGGCCGCCGACGACCAGGAGUAGUUAGGAGGCUCCCAGGCAGGAGGCCUUGCCUUUUCGAUCGAUGUUGCUUUUGUGCU